GCUAAUACCGCAUACGUCCUACGGGAGAAAGCAGGGGAUCUUCGGACCUUGCGCUAAUAGAUGAGCCUAAGUCGGAUUAGCUAGUUGGUGGGGUAAAGGCCUACCAAGGCGACGAUCUGUAGCGGGUCUGAGAGGAUGAUCCGCCACACUGGGACUGAGACACGGCCCAGACUCCUACGGGAGGCAGCAGUGGGGAAUAUUGGACAAUGGGGGGAACCCUGAUCCAGCCAUGCCGCGUGUGUGAAGAAGGCCUUAUGGUUGUAAAGCACUUUAAGCGAGGAGGAGGCUACUUGGAUUAAUACUCUAGGAUAGUGGACGUUACUCGCAGAAUAAGCACCGGCUAACUCUGUGCCAGCAGCCGCGGUAAUACAGAGGGUGCGAGCGUUAAUCGGAUUUACUGGGCGUAAAGCGUGCGUAGGCGGCUUUUUAAGUCGGAUGUGAAAUCCCUGAGCUUAACUUAGGAAUUGCAUUCGAUACUGGGAAGCUAGAGUAUGGGAGAGGAUGGUAGAAUUCCAGGUG
rnacentral:rRNA from 1 species